UACGUAGGGUGCGAGCGUUAAUCGGAAUUACUGGGCGUAAAGCGUGCGCAGGCGGUUUUGUAAGACAGGCGUGAAAUCCCCGGGCUCAACCUGGGAAUUGCGCUUGUGACUGCAAAGCUGGAGUGCGGCAGAGGGGGAUGGAAUUCCGCGUGUAGCAGUGAAAUGCGUAGAUAUGCGGAGGAACACCGAUGGCGAAGGCAAUCCCCUGGGCCUGUACUGACGCUCAUGCACGAAAGCGUGGGGAGCAAACAGG
rnacentral:rRNA from 1 species